rnacentral:rRNA from 1 species
UACGUAGGCAGCAAGCGUUGUUCGGAGUUACUGGGCGUAAAGGGUGUGUAGGCGGUUCUUUUAAGUUUGGUGUGAAAUCUCCCGGCUCAACCGGGAGGGUGCGCCGAAUAUGAGGGACUAGAGUACGGGAGAGGAAAGUGGAAUUCCUGGUGUAGCGGUGAAAUGCGUAGAUAUCAGGAGGAACACCGGUGGUGUAGACGGCUUUCUGGACCGUAACUGACGCUGAAACACGAAAAGCGUGGGUAGCAAAACAGG